AACUGCAGUGGAGGGCUUUCAUAACAGAAACAUUAGCUUCAUUGUAGCUUGUUGCGGAAAACAGGGAGCUUUUUAAAGGUGGUUCAAAAGCAUCGGUUGGGGCUCAACAAUUUUCCCUUUUUCCCCAAAUGCUGCUUCUACUAGCACGUUGGCCAGAUCAUAGAAUCUCCCAUACUAAUGCUUCAUCUUUUUACUAAAGCACAGGAAACCCUAGAGUAAAGGCUUUGUCCAGAAAGAUGGAUGUGAAACUGAUGGAAAGUGACAUCUGGGAAAUGAUCCCCAGUUCUGCGUUCAUAUCUAAUGGGAAGCCACAAAUGCAGAAUCAUCCUCUCAAGACUGGGAGUAUGCAGAUGAGGCUCUCCUAGCAACGUGAAAUCCCCCACACUUCAGCCCGUGCCCUCUUUCUCUCUUGCUCUCUCUUGGAUCACUCACUGUAAGGAAGCUAGUAGCUGCCAUGUCCGAAGGCCGCCCUGUGAAGAGGAACUGAGGCCUGCCAACAACCACAUAAGUUAGCUUGGGAUACUUCCCCCUUGGUCUAUGUUAAUCGAGCCUUCAGAUGAGACCUUCAACCCCAGCCAGCAGCUGCCUCAACGAGAGCCCUUGAGGAAGAAGCAUCCAGCUAAGCUGCCUCGAUUCCUGACCCACAGAAACUGUAAAAGCAUCUAUCCUGGUCCUGAGGCCUCAGCACACGCAGGGGCGGUGGGGUCCAACCUCGGUCCUAGAAGAAGAGGUGGAAAGAAGGGCUUUCGAGCCUGACAGCCGGAAGAGGUAAGUGAUUUCAGUGCAGGUCUAAAACUAGAAAGAAAGGCUUGUGGUCCUGCUGCUGAAGAGCAAGUCGUGGACAAUCCCCGAUAAGAAUCACCUCCACACUGCUUCCAGGGCUACAAAGAACAUUCUGUCCACGUGAUGGUAUCUCUCUCUCUCAACAUCAUUUCCUCUCUGACUGGAGCAAAUUAUUUACUUUGAAAACACAAAACAAAGUUUUAUGAAGCGGGAGAGAUGUUACACUCCUGCAUCCCUAACUAGGGCAGGCAUCUACUUGUGGUUGCCCCCCCGCCCCCGCCUCAGCCAGUCACGUACAAGCUGGCGAUCGUAGAGCCCAUUUCUGUUUUCUCUCCAGAGACACUCGGCUCUGAUUUUUCUCACGUGCAGUGGCCACAGCUGCUGUGUUGCCAUGCCGUCAUCCGGUUGCUAUGACUUGUGAGGUUGUGGAUGUGCCAGAACGUGAAUCUAUUAAUUUAACAGGAACUAGGCUCAGCACAUAUAUUCCUUGUUAGGUCAUUUGCUUUGCUACCUAAACCACAUCCAAUGUGUUCAGCAACGGGAACAUUUCCUAGAGCCUGGCUUUGCAAAAACGCCAAGUGCCCUGGAUUUUUGAGUCUGCAGCAGUCAGUUUUACGGCAUUAAAUUACUGUGGAGGAGAACACAAAGGCAUUCUGGCCCCGGGAUGCCAACAGGUCAGCUUCGGAGAAAAAUCAAAGGAGGGGAAAUAAAGUCUCUGGUCUUCAUUCUUUGCCCACUGAGGUCCAUUCUGCGGGAGGUAUAUGAACUAACUUCCACAGGGAUCCCACCCUGAGCCCAGGUCUCUCACUGACAAGGUCCAAGCUCUCCAACCCCAGAACUAGGGGACGUGUGCCAUGAAAAGAGAAACCACUGGCCUUUUUUCCUUCACUCCUUCGAUGAACACUUCCUGGAUGUCUGCUGGUAGUCGUGCUAGGAAUGCGGAGAUGAAAGGGACAAAGUCUCUCCCUAGUGGGAGAGAAAGACAUGUAAAUUACAGUGUGACAUGAGAAGCUUCACACAGGGCACCGUGAGAUCCCAGAGAAGGAAGCAAGUAAGUCUGCCUGGGGACAGGAAUGAUGGGCUGCCACCAGUGUUCUUCCUUUUCUGAAAAAAAAGACUAUGUUAAAAAUGAUCAGAUGCAUUGUACUAAGUAAUAAGUGUUGUUUGUGUAGCUUUUGGUUUGGUUGUUUGUAAUAUAUAUGUACAUAUUUGUCUGGGUCACAGUGUAAAACAUAUUCCCUAUAUACAGGCAAAGAAGCGUGAAAGUUCUAGGUUUAGAGAGUAAUAAAUACCCCCGCACACAGGGGACUUAUGACGGGCUUGGCCUCAAAGUGUUGUCCCGUUGUGUAGUUGAAGGAACUAGCCGUGACUUAAUCCUUCCAAAUUCUCCUCCCUUAGUGAAUCAAAGCCAAGCCUGAAGGACCAGCUCCCAGACCCCUUCCCCCCCAGGACCAUUAAGCCAGCUCUAAGGCAGUGAGAGAGUACCCACCCCCUUUCCCUCGGGCCAGACGGUAGGAAGGAGAAAGAGGAGAGAGAGGAAGGUCAGAAAGGCAUCAUGCUUUUCCUCCUCUUCAGGUCUUAGAGGAAAGCAGGAUAGGUGCAUUACCUAAUGAGUAUUACUGUAAGCACAAGAGGGGCUUUUACCCCGCUUCCCACUGGGCUUCUGAGAGGAAUCUGCCCCACACGUGGCUUUAUACUAAACUAGGGGCAGUUAUGUCAAAGUGACCCUGGUGAUCAAGCCUAGGUCAGCAGAGAGGCUCUGAGGCUCAGCAUUCCUGAGUCCCCAUUCCCACAUGGCAUGGAUGUCACAUCGUGAGCAAACAGCCUGCUGUGUGACUGCCCCGGUGGGGCAAGACUACCUGUGGCAAAGCUCGGGGGAGGAUCAUGGGUCUGCACCACUGAGAACAGAGGGAAAUGAGCAGCAAGUUGCAAAGGGGAGAAGCCAGUGCUGGGGGUGUUGCUGUAGACCACAAGGCCACCUACCAGAGCUGGUGGCAGCAGAGGCCUGGGGACAGGUGGAAACCAAGAGGACAAGGCAGCUUGGCAUGGUGGUCAGGAACAAGGGUUCUGGACUGCACAGACACUGCCUGGCUUCAAGUCCCACUUCUGCCACAUACUAGCUGCGUGACCUUGGACAAGUAAUUUAGCCUUUC